UACGUAGGGCGCAAGCGUUGUCCGGAAUUAUUGGGCGUAAAGAGCUCGUAGGCGGCUUGUCGCGUCGGAUGUGAAAGCCCGGGGCUUAACCCCGGGUCUGCAUUCGAUACGGGCAGGCUAGAGUUCGGUAGGGGAGAUCGGAAUUCCUGGUGUAGCGGUGAAAUGCGCAGAUAUCAGGAGGAACACCGGUGGCGAAGGCGGAUCUCUGGGCCUUACCUGACGCUCAGGUGCGAAAGCUAGGGGAGCGAACAGG
rnacentral:rRNA from 1 species